UACGUAGGGUGCGAGCGUUGUCCGGAAUUACUGGGCGUAAAGAGUUCGUAGGCGGUUUGUCGCGUCGUUCGUGAAAACUUGGGGCUUAACUCCAAGCGUGCGGGCGAUACGGGCAGACUUGAGUACUACAGGGGAGACUGGAAUUCCUGGUGUAGCGGUGAAAUGCGCAGAUAUCAGGAGGAACACCGGUGGCGAAGGCGGCUCACUGGGGGUUAUCUGACGCUGAGGAACGAAAGCCAGGGGAGCAAACGGG
rnacentral:rRNA from 1 species